GACGGAGGAUGCAAGUGUUAUCCGGAAUCACUGGGCGUAAAGCGUCUGUAGGUGGUCAAAUAAGUCAACUGUUAAAUCUUGAGGCUCAACCUCAAAAUCGCAGUCGAAACUAUUAGACUAGAGUAUAGUAGGGGUAAAGGGAAUUCCAGUGGAGCGGUGAAAUGCGUAGAUAUUGGAAAGAACACCGAUGGCGAAGGCACUUUACUGGGCUAUUACUAACACUCAGAGACGAAAGCUAGGGUAGCAAAUGGG
rnacentral:rRNA from 1 species